UAGAAGCUGAAGUGGUGGAUCCCUUUUGUCGGAUGGAACCUCAAUCGGGGGUAUCAUUUUUAUACAAACACCAAGACACGUUUUAUAUUGUUCUGGAAAGUGAUGCUGAGAUGUACGCCCGAGAUGCCUUCUUCUUGUGCCUAAAACGUGGUACAAUUCCACUGACAAUUGAAGACGACCAGGAGCAUCAGGAUGUGUUAAAUGCCAUCGUUAAUGCUAAAGGCUACA